CAGUCGCCACGGUAAUGCGUAGGUGGCAAGCGUUGUCCGGAAUUAUUGGGCGUAAAGGGCUCGCAGGCGGUUUUUAAGUCUGAUGUGAAAGCCCACGGCUCAACCGUGGAGGGUCAUUGGAAACUGGAAAACUUGAGUGCAGAAGAGGAAAGUGGAAUUCCAUGUGUAGCGGUGAAAUGCGCAGAGAUAUGGAGGAACACCAGUGGCGAAGGCGACUUUCUGGUCUGUAACUGACGCUGAUGUGCGAAAGCGUGGGGAUCAAACAGGAUUAGAUACCCCAGUAGUCCCUGUCUCUUAUACA
rnacentral:rRNA from 1 species